rnacentral:rRNA from 1 species
GAUGAACGCUGGCGGCGUGCCUAAUACAUGCAAGUCGAGCGAACAGAUAAGGAGCUUGCUCCUUUGACGUUAGCGGCGGACGGGUGAGUAACACGUGGGUAACCUACCUAUAAGACUGGGAUAACUUCGGGAAACCGGAGCCAAUACCGGAUAAUAUUUCGAACCGCAUGGUUCGAUAGUGGAAGAUGGUUUUGCUAUCACUUAUAGAUGGACCCGCGCCGCAUUAGCUAGUUGGUAAGGUAACGGCUUACCAAGGCGACGAUACGUAGCCGACCUGAGAGGGUGAUCGGCCACACUGGAACUGAGACACGGUCCAGACUCCUACGGGAGGCAGCAGUAGGGAAUCUUCCGCAAUGGGCGAAAGCCUGACGGAGCAACGCCGCGUGAGUGAUGAAGGUCUUCGGAUCGUAAAACUCUGUUAUUAGGGAAGAACAUAUGUGUAAGUAACUGUGCACGUCUUGACGGUACCUAAUCAGAAAGCCACGGCUAACUACGUG